rnacentral:rRNA from 1 species
AUUGAACGCUGGCGGCAUGCUCAACACAUGCAAGUCGAACGGUAACAGGCCCUUCGGGGUGCUGACGAGUGGCGGACGGGUGAGUAAUGCUUAGGAAUCUGCCUAGUAGUGGGGGAUAACCCGGGGAAACUCGGGCUAAUACCGCAUACGCCCUACAGGGGAAAGCGGGGGACUUUCGGGCCUCGCGCUAUUAGAUGAGCCUAAGUCCGAUUAGCUAGUUGGUAGGGUAAUGGCCUACCAAGGCGACGAUCGGUAGCUGGUCUGAGAGGACGACCAGCCACACUGGGACUGAGACACGGCCCAGACUCCUACGGGAGGCAGCAGUGGGGAAUAUUGGACAAUGGGCGCAAGCCUGAUCCAGCGAUGCCGCGUGUGUGAAGAAGGCCUGCGGGU